rnacentral:hammerhead_ribozyme from 1 species
GCCGAAACGGCCCUCCGGGGCUGUCUGCCGGGAAUGGCCGCCCGGUACUGAAGAUGGCAG